rnacentral:rRNA from 1 species
UACGUAGGGUGCGAGCGUUAAUCGGAAUUACUGGGCGUAAAGCGUGCGCAGGCGGUUUUGUAAGCCAGAUGUGAAAUCCCCGGGCUUAACCUGGGAAUGGCAUUUGGGACUGCAAGGCUCGAGUGCGGCAGAGGAGACUGGAAUUCCUGGUGUAGCAGUGAAAUGCGUAGAUAUCAGGAGGAACACCGGUGGCGAAGGCGGCUCUCUGGACGGUGACUGACGCUGAGACGCGAAAGCGUGGGGAGCAAACAGG